CCUCCUGUCAUUUAUCUUGAGAAAAGACGAAGGCAGGAAAGCUACAUUACGCGCAAUUGGUGCAGGGAAGAAACCAAUAACAAGAUGACUAAAAUGGUGAUGGCUUACAUUGGGUUCCUUCUCCUUGCCAUGCGUUUUUCGUCACAGGUCCACGCGCAAGACCCUACCACACAGUCCCCUGCCAUGAAUGCUACGACCAAAGCUGGAGGUGCGAGUUCCAACAUGACCAAGAUGCCUGAUGUCACCAAGAACAACAUUGCCAAAGGAGCCAGUGCAUCUUUGCAGUCCAGCUCCGUUGUGCUCAUCAUACCCAUCAUGGUGGGGGGCUCACUACAGGGGUGCUUCUAGAGGGCUGUUGAGCAGUGAACAGACACCAGGAAGACUUUAACAUCAGCGGCCUAGAUGGGGCAAACUGUUCUACCAAGAUAACAUUUAAAAAAUAAUAUUCAGAAAGGCAGUCAUGUUUGCACCUAACCGAAUAGAUUCGAGGGAGUUCCGUGCCAGACCAGAACCCAUUUCUACUUCACCAAUUGGAAUUGUUAUUUGCCCUCACACCUUCAAAUCAGUAAGCCUUCACACCUCACACACUGGCCCCAUGUUCAUAGGCUGAACUGUAUGGUCCUCUCCAUGGAGGCAGUCCAUGAUGAUUAUGUACUGUACGGAACUCUGCUCUUUGAACUGUUUGGUUCCUGUGUAGACACCAGGGGGUAGUUUAGUAAUUUAAGAAGUUAACAUAUCUAAAGAAAUGUUGGUUGAGGCACUUUGAAAAUAAGGUGUAAAUGAAUCUGUGGCACAUGCACGAACAGUGGCAUUUCUGCACCUGCAGUGAGUACUUUGUCAGAGGCUUGAUGUACACUUGUAAUUUAUUUCUAGAGUAUGGAAUUCUAUGAGCUAGCAUGUGAGAUUUAAUUGUAUGAAUCAUGAUGUGAUCUGCUUAGAUUUGUUUUUUUAAGGCCAGGUUCAAUAAACCUUUGAAAUGUAGGUUACUUGUGACAAUUGUCUUGUAAAAUAAAAAUACUUUAACAUAA